rnacentral:rRNA from 1 species
GACAGAGGGUGCAAACGUUGCUCGGAAUUACUGGGCGUAAAGCGCGUGUAGGUGGAUUGGUGUGUCAGAUGUGAAAUCCCUGGGCUCAACCCAGGAACUGCACCUGAAACUACCAGUCUUGAGUGGUGGAGAGGGAAGUGGAAUUCCUGGUGUAGAGGUGAAAUUCGUAGAUAUCAGGAGGAACACCAGUGGCGAAGGCGGCUUCCUGGACACUAACUGACGCUGAGACGCGAAAGCGUGGGGAGCAAACGGG